GCCGGAGUGGCGGAAUUGCUAUACGCGCACGACUCAAAAUCGUGUGGAGGAAACUCCUUGAGGGUUGGAAUCCCUCCUCCGGAA
rnacentral:tRNA from 1 species